CAAAUCAAGAAACCCUGUGAUAACUUCUUGAUCAAAACAUUGUUCCAAAUUUACCUUAACGUCACUGAUAACUGUUUUGUACAUAAAUCUCGUUUUCUUUUCGACUUACCACGUUUUUUAUUUAUAAACGAAUGCAAUUUGGCAAUGGUGGAAGCAUUUGUGUAUUGAAGAUAGAAGAGCAUGUCGAUUUCUUGGUAUAGAGGGUCACUACGUUUUCAAGGUAAACCUGCAAGAAACUUCAGAGAAAUAUUUCGAUGGAAAAUAUUUUUACGGAAACUGGACCUUUAGAUCAGUAUUCACAAGCAAAGAUUGCAAUUUUUACUGUACUCUCGUUGAAGUUAUCACGAGACCUAAGCGUGAAACAUAAACAUUAAAAAUAUUUUGUCUUUGUUUUUAAUCUUUACAAGUAUUUUACUUCUCAUUCAUUCAUCGAUUUAUCCAUAUCUGUUAAAAUUCGAACGAAGUAAUUUUGGCGUAAUAUUUCGAUUAUUAACUAAUAAUAAUAAAAAACGGCCUUCUUCACGACCAAAUAAAUAUAUAAACAAAACACUGAA